rnacentral:rRNA from 1 species
UACGAGGGGUGCAAGCGUUGCUCGGAAUUAUUGGGCGUAAAGGGUAGGUAGGUGGUCUCAUUUGUCUGGGGUGAAAGCCUUGGGCUUAACUCAAGAAGUGCCCCAGAAACGGUGAGACUGGAGUCCUGGAGAGGGUCGUGGAAUUCCCGGUGUAGCGGUGAAAUGCGUAGAGAUCGGGAGGAACACCUGUGGCGAAGGCGGCUUCCUGGACCGACACUGACGCUGAGGCGCGAAAGCCAGGGGAGCAAACGGG